rnacentral:lncRNA from 1 species
UUUGGCCGUGGGCGGAACAAAUUUUAGGAAACAUUUUUGGAAAUUGGGGGAGAAAAGGGAGGGACAUGCCAAAACCCUAAUUAAUUUGGAAAAAAAGCCAAACUGCUUAAAUUGCAUAAAAACAAGAGUUUGGGAAUUGUGGGAAAAAGAAGAGGGAAGCCAAAUUUAUUUUUGGGAAACGGCAAAACACUAAAUUCUACAAACAUUUUUUUUUAAAUAUAAAAUAAUAUUGUUCCAUACCAUUCAUUUAAGGAAAAAAGCCAAAACCCUGAACAUUAUCAAAAAUUAAUAUUUGCAGUAUGGAAAAUUAAUUUGAAUGAUCUAAUCGUCAAACUUGUUUCUAUAUGCUUCAAGAUCACAUACAUAAAAAAUUGCAAAAAACAGACAUUCAGAUAUUAGGUAACGAGACGAGACCUUUUGAUGGUUAUAAACGCAAACUCACGAUUUAACUGUGAUCUUAACUCCGAUUUUGAUGAUUUUUUACAAAUACACUCCUCAGCCCUAUAAGACUAUGAUGAAUGAAUUUGAUCAUCAAUUUAAAAUAUUUGCAUUAAUGCUUACCACAAAUUAUUAUGUUCAACUUAAUGUAAGUAUAGAAUAAACUCCAAGUGUUUUUUGAAUCUG